rnacentral:rRNA from 1 species
GACGAACGCUGGCGGCGUGCUUAACACAUGCAAGUGGAGCGACGAACCAGGCUUCGGCCUGGGGCAAAGCCGCGAACGGGUGAGUAACACGUGGGUAACCUGCCCCGAAGACCGGGACAACCCGAGGAAACUCGGGCUAAUACCGGAUGUGGUCACUGUUCAUAAGGACAGUGAGCAAAGGAAGCUUCGGCCUCCGCUUCGGGAGGGGCCCGCGGCCCAUUAGCUCGUUGGUGAGGUAACGGCUCACCAAGGCUACGAUGGGUAGCUGGUCUGAGAGGACGAUCAGCCACACUGGGACUGAGACACGGCCCAGACUCCUACGGGAGGCAGCAGUGGGGAAUCUUGCGCAAUGGGCGACAGCCUGACGCAGCAACGCCGCGUGGGGGAAGAAGGCCUUCGGGUUGUAAACCUCUUUCAGGAGGGACGAAGCUUCGGCAGCGAAUAGCUGUCCGGAGUGACGGUACCUCCAUAAGAAGCCCCGGCUAACUACGUGCCAGCCGCCGCCGUAACAC